AAAUUAUCAAAACUUGGGGUCAGCUCCUCUGCUUCUCUUUCCGUACUUUUCUUCCUUUCUUCUUCAGCUCCAAUAACCCUAAAAUCUAAAAGCCUCCACCGCUGGCAUUUGAGAUUCACCGAUCGUCGCUUAAUCAAGGUUGCCGUUAGUCACUUGUCCUUCAAUCUCUAGCCUCCACUGCCGCAACACCACCAGUUUCUUCAGAUUUCAAGGUUCAAUCAAGUAAUUAACACGCUGGUGAACCGAAGCUAAAUCUGUUCCAGCCUUGAAAUUGGAAGAUCAAUACAUCACUGAUUUCAAGGAGUUAGGAAAAGCAUUGCCUUUAGCAGAAGUACAACAGGAGGAUUUGCUUGACAGUUCUAUUCAAAAUGUGAAGAAUGCGGUACUUUUGACCCUGUUGUCUGACCAUUUACAAGAUCCCAAUCGCAUUCCUUGGCUCAGUGAUUUCAACGCACUGCUGCAAGAGCUGGAACUGCCCCAACCAGUUUCAGUAGAUAAUCUCAAUGAGAAAAGGCCUGUCGUGCUCUCCGAUGCAGAGGCAGCAUUUAAGACUUUAGCAUGGAGGCUUUCAGAUUCAGCUUUUUUGCUCCUAGAACAGGCAAGGAACGCGUCAGUUUAUGAUGCAAAAUUGGUUGGAUGUACUUCAAUCAUACGCAGAAUUUUGGUUUGUUUUAGGAAAAGAAGAAAAAUUAAAAAAAAAACAACAAACAAACAAAACAAAACAAAAGAAGGAAAAUUAAGAAAAUAAAAAAAAUCAUUCUAAUCAUUUUGUUUCAUCAGAACCACUAUUAACCCAUUUUUACACUCCAUCCUCAUUAACAUUUCUUCCCAUUUUGGUAAAAAAUUCAUCAUUGAUAGCCCAUGCAUACUUCUUGUCUUUGGAAGAAAAAAUCAUCAUUUGGCCCAACUUAACACUCCUAGUCAAGACAUCACUCGGCUCUCUCUGGGGGAAAAGGAGGAAAAAAAAACACACACAAAAAAGGCUCUACUGUUGGCUACAAAAAUCUCCUCUCUCGGCUCUCUCCCACAGGACAGAAGACAAGCCAUAACAAGAAAAAAAAAAAGAAAAACUCCUCUCUCCAUUCGGCUCCCUCUCUUUUCCUAAUAUACACACACAGAAUCAAGCACAAGAAAGCAAGCAAUCGGACGCGAGGAGAUUGGAAUUUCAUCAACAAUUUUAACUAAGGUCAUAAGAGGUGUUUAUGGUUGAGAUCGAGGAAAAAGUGCAAUUCAACUUGCAAAUUUGGAGAUUAGUCACGAAUAAAAAUGGAGCAAUAAUGCUACAUUGCAAAGUGGAGGAUCGGCUAUUUGCUCAAAAGGAGUACAUACUUUAGCAGCCAACUUGAAAAAAAAAAGAGAAAAGAAAAGAAAAAGGGGGAAUGAAAAGCGAAAAAAAAAGAGAAAGAAUAAAGGAAAAAAAAAAGUAAAGACAAAAGACAAAAGAAAAGAAAGGGGGAAUGAAAGAAAAAAAAAGAAGAGAAUAAUAAAAAAGGAGGAAAAAAUGGAAAAACGAAAAAAAAAGAGAAUAAAAAAAAGGGGAUUGAAAAAAAAAGAGAGUUUUUCCUUCGAUUUUGCAAAUUUUGCAAUUGAACUCUGGGAGCGUUUCAUUGGAGAUUACAUUUCUAAGUUAGGGCAACACCUUGUCCUCUUAUGCUGAAAUGGAAGUGGUAAUACAUGCCAAAACCGAGAUCCCGUCCUUGCACAUUUUGACAAAGGCUUAGGUAGAGGAAAUCAAAUGGAUUAAGGAGCACAAUGAGUUGCUAUCUCUGAUUGAUGAAAAAGAGGUUGAAUGUUUGUCAUGGACAAUGCUAUCAUCAAAUGAUGGUUCGUUAGUUAUGACAAGAAAGACAAAUCUUGCUUAUUUGAAGUGAGGGAUAAGGUUUUGAAGUAAAUUCUUCCGAUUCAAGAGGAGGUUAAAGAAAAGUUUGCUCCGACUUGGCAAGGGCCAUUUAUUGUUCAAAGAGUGCUAUCCGGAGGAACGUCCAUUCUUACAGAACUGGAUGGACAGGUCUUUCCUCUGCCAAUCAAUUCAGACAUGUGAAAUAAAUUCUUUAUCUGAUUAUAUGAUUUUUCUUUUUGAAAUACCAUCUAUGGCGGAUCAAAGGCGAGCCUUCUUCUUUUCUCUUUGAACAUCUUAUCCCUAGUUUUCCCCAUUGAACCUCCAGAAUAAUUCAACCUUUCAUUUGAUAGCCCUCCUAAAGAUUGCAAACUCCAUACUGGGGUAAAUUUUUAUCUCUUAUUUGUCAUGAAAAAAAAAGAAAAAAGAAGUCAAAAGCCAAACUGGGGCAAUUUUUUCGGUUUUAAUACCCUCAUAAUGGGGCAAAUAUUGAUAGAAUGCGGUCUUAGGAUUUUUGAAACCUCUUUGAAGAUUUUGCUUUGAAGUUUAACACUUUUUCUACACCCCACAUGCCCCCAUCAUAAAAAUCAUAAAGUCUCGACCUCCGCUUUAGUGGUAUUUCUAAUAAAAAUCACUUAAUCAAAUGGCAAUUGAUGUCAGUACACCUUCACCAUUUUUACAUGGGAAUGGUUGUCGCGCUGAUGCCAUCCUUUCUUUAAAUACAUUUCUGAGUUGAUAAAUGUCGUUAACAAGAUUUGUUCAUUAGGUGAAAACCUGAAAGGGUGUCUUCAAAAGAAUGAGAAAAAAAGAAAAAAAGAAAAAAAAAGAGAAUGAUGAAAAA